rnacentral:tRNA from 1 species
GGGAAUUUAGCUCAGUGGUAGAGCGCUUGCCUAGCAAGUGCAAGACCCUGGGUUCAGUCCCCAGCCCC